UGGUGUGUUUCUCAUGAAAUCUGGGUGUGACAGCUGUCACCCCACAGAUCACCAGUUGACCCCACUGAUCACCGUUGAUUCGGCUCAUCUGGCUAGAUGGGUGUCUCCUUCCUUCCUCACCACUCCAUGUGUGUCCCUACUGAACCUGCGUGUUUGGUUGAAGAGAACAGCCAUCCUUGAUAGAGGAGGACCAGUCUUCAAUAAAGGAUAUACGAGUGGCUGUGCUUGCCUGCUACAACCUCCAAACAUGCUAUUAGUCUUGUGAAUAAAGGGAUGAGCCAUAUAACUAGACGCUGAGAAAGACCAGAACAGUGCUGGUUU
rfam:Homo sapiens chromosome 11, GRCh38 reference primary assembly.